rnacentral:rRNA from 1 species
GACGAACGCUGGCGGCGUGCUUAACACAUGCAAGUCGAACGGAAAGGCCCUGCUUUUGUGGGGUGCUCGAGUGGCGAACGGGUGAGUAACAAGUGAGUAACCUGCCCUUGACUUUGGGAUAACUUCAGGAAACUGGGGCUAAUACCGGAUAGGAGCUCCUGCUGCAUGGUGGGGGUUGGAAAGUUUCGGCGGUUGGGGAUGGACUCGCGGCUUAUCAGCUUGUUGGUGGGGUAGUGGCUUACCAAGGCUUUGACGGGUAGCCGGCCUGGGAGGGUGACCGGCCACAUUGGGACUGAGAUACGGGCCAGACUCCUACGGGAGGCAGCAGUGGGGAAUAUUGCACGAUGGGCGGAAGCCUGAUGCAGCAACGCCGCGUGCGGGAUGACGGCCUUCGGGUUGUAAACCGCUUUCGCCUGUGACGAAGCGUGAGUGACGGUAAUGGGUAAAGAAGCACCGGCUAACUACGUG